rnacentral:sRNA from 1 species
AUGUACCGCUCGUACACUCCGGUUCCUGCGCGCCGCGCGCACCCGCCUGACAACCGCUCGCUACGUUUUGUUACCC